CGAUUACAUAAAUGACUCUUCAUAGCACAAUGCUUCGAAUUACAAUAAAGAGUAAGUAAUAAUAUUACAGACUAGAGCCAUUUACAUAAUAUAAAUCAAAGUACACAGAAUAGAAACGUAGCCAACGUAAAUAAACCCACCACAGGCAGCUGACUGGGGGAGGUCGCUAGCCUAAUCCUCGAACUCAUCGAAGCCCUAGAACUCCUGGAGAUACGCCUCGACGCCUUCUUCUUUACCUGAGCAUAGAUUACACCAAAGGCAACCUGGUGUUUUGUGAAAGCAAGGGUGAGUACACAUCAACGUACUCAGCAAAUGUCCCGUUUGGCUGUAGUGGACUAGCUUUAUUUGGGGUUAAGGUCAAGCAGUUGCUUUUAGUUGGUCAGGUUAUUAUUAUUAAUUGAGAGCCAGGUUUUAACAUUAACCCAAGUUAUUAACCCAAAGUACCCUUUCCAAACGGAAAGAAUACCACUUACCAUUACCAUAGUCAUAACCAUCAUCAUCAUCAUCUGUAAACCAACCAUCUCUGAUCAAGUAUCUCUAAUCAAAGAGGAUCCCAAGGCCGCUCAUAACCGUGAGCACGGCUGAUAUAUCAGUUUCACUACCCUCUGCAGAGGUCGCACACUUUACCCAUGAGUCGUGAUUCCCGUUUUGCCUGGGGAUCAUGACUCCCCAUUGAUCACUUCCUAGGUGGUCCGGCAGGGUAUCACUACGUAGCUUUUACAAAGAUUCCCUAGAGGUCAUAGUCACCCAUUAGGUUUCUCCAGUUUGAUAAACACAGUACCCCUCCCCGCAGGAGGGUGACUAACAAAAGCAAAACGAAAGGACCUUGGCACCCCGCCUCGGCAGAGCAAGCACUGUGCCUGGACCCCAUUAACGGCACGACGGCGAAACAACUACACCUCUAGUUCCUCUAAUUAAUUAGCUAAGGGCAUCCCAUUUCACCCUCAUGGUUGCACUGUUAUCCCGGGUGGUCUCUCAACGAACAGGUCCUUACGGAGAGGUACUCGGGAAACAGCCCGAGUCCCCUAAAUGCCACAAGUAUAUCAUCAUACCCAGAAUAAAAUCAUAGUAUCAUCAUUGUAUCUCAUCAUGUUCAUUGAUUAAAGUAAAGCGCUAGCAUGUAGCUAACCAUAGUAACCCAAAAGGUAAAUCAAGGACAAGGUAAAUAGAAAGCUAGUAAAUCCUUAGGUUGUUCAUAGUAUGCGGGACAGUGUAUUAUAAAGUAAAUGGGACAUAAUGGGUCAGAGGACACUUGCCUUCACUAAACAGAUGCUCAGAGUCUUCAACUUCGUGGAACCCAAAGAGCUAGAUCACUUGGUCGCCGAAGCUUGACCGUCG
rnacentral:lncRNA from 1 species